rnacentral:misc_RNA from 1 species
CAUGAAGAACGUAGUGAAAUGCGAUACUUGGUGUGAAUUGCAGAAUCCCGUGAACCAUCGAGUCUUUGUACGCAAGUUGCGCCCGAAGCCUCGGCUAAGGGCACGUCUGCCUGGGCGUCACGCAUCGCGUCUCCCCCAAACCGCCAAGGCGGAGGGGAAGGAAGAUGGCUUCCCGUGCCUCACCCGGCGCGGUUGGCCUAAAUUUGGAGCCCGCGGCACUUAGCUCUCGCGGCGAUAGGUGGUGAACAAGGCCUUGGCCGUGCAAACAACCCGCUGCGAAGCUCUAUGUCACGUGCGCUCGUCGGACCCUUUGAAGUUGCCUUCGGUGACUUAAAACCUUUGCGACCCCAGGUCAGGCGGGGCUACCCGCUGAAUUUAAGCAUAUCAAUAAGCGGAGGA